UCUUGCUCCCCAACACUUAGAAGUCACCUUUAAUAACAGAAUUCAGAUCCAUAAUCGUUUGAUUUCCCCCGGUCUCCACCUUGGACAAUGGAAUGAUUCCUGAAUAAUAAGAAUCUGCAGUUUCCAGAUUGAGCCCUGAAGUUUCAUUAUUUAGUGCUGAAUGGGAGGAAGAGCAUAUGAAUGAAAUUUUAACAUUUGCCCCAGGAAAUAAACAGGAGACUAAACACCCACAUGGAAGAUGUCUUCCCUAUACCAGGAGGAAAACAGCAUUCUUUUCACCGAGGAUGGGGAGUUGAUGCCAAGAGAAAUCUGCACAAAGAAACCUUUGUUAAACUAACCCUUAUCUUCCUAGCAAUUUUUCCACCAUGAACUGCCCUAGCCAAAACCCUUCCAUCUUGUGACAUUUUCAUGAUUCACUCUUCUGUCCAAUUCAGUCUAUAAGCAGUCAACUCUAACUGCUUCUCUGGGUCUUCAUUUACU